AAGUAAGCUAAAAAGGCAAUAGCACAGAACAGAAGGAAUACAGAUACAGGAUUUAAGGUGGAGUCCUUCUUCACUGUUGGGCAAGCAUGAAUCGUUUUCCAUUCAAAGAAGAAAGCGCAAUCGUUCAGAUUGCCAACGUAGGUUAUGACAGACGGUGCGGUGUAAGGGUCCCGAUUGCAAGUAAAACUAAUUAAGGUGCUCA